GCCAACGCUUCCUUCUCUAAAUAUUCAUUCCUCUCUCACUGAACAAACAUAUACACAUACACAUAGAAGUCUGCUUUGGAUGAACUGCUCAUAAUCACUAAUCAGGUUCAUCUUGGAUUUAAACUCUUCAUCUCAUCCACUUGAGAUGGGUGUUGGUCUGACAGUUGUCGCUUUGCUCAUCGCUCUGAUGCAAGACUCUUUUAGGGGCAAAUAUUCAGGGACUUAAUGAGGAAGAACUGCACAACAAUGUUCGACAGCUUCCCAAGAACUACAGCGAAACAUUGCCGUUCAACCAGGCCUGUCUCCUUCGCUGUUGACCUCUGUGAGUCAGGUGUCAGAGGGAGUCCAGGUGAGGCUGCAGUGUUCGGUCCCAGAGCCCUGCUUUGUCCUGCCGCCCUCCUUCACCUGGCUCCCCCAAGACAACUCCAGGCAGGAGCAGACACAAAUGCAGCAGAAUGUGGAUGGGCAGAUGAUCAUGACAUCCACACUGACCUUCAUCGCCUCAGCCGACCAUCACAACCAGAGCAUCACCUGUUCUGUCUCCUACCUGCUGACAAAAGGGGGCAGCACCCAGCCGUCUGCCACGACUCAACGUCCUGAAUGACACCCUAUUGUGUGUCCCGAUAAAGCCUGGUACCAUGGAUACAUCCUGUAUUACGGCCUGCCUCACCGAGAUUAAAAACUGGAUGUCCAAACAUUUUCUGCAAUUGAAUGACUCCAAAUCAGAGGUAAUUAUAACUACCCCAUGUGGCCCCAGUACUAGCAGCAUUAAUAAUCUCUCCUCCAGUUUGGAUGCCUUAUCUAAUAAUGUUCGAAAAGAGGCCCGCAACCUAGGUAUUGGUUUUGAUUCAGAAUUGUCCUUUGAAGCUCAGGUGACUAAAGUGGUGCAGUCCUGCUUUGCACAAGUGAGACAGCUAACCAAAAGUCAUUCCUUUAUUUUUCAGACUUAGAAAAGGUCACCCAUGCUUUCAUCUCUUCCAGACUUGACUAUUGCAACACACUUUAUUCUGGCAUCAGCAGGCGAAACAUCCAAAGAUUGCUGCUGCCAGGCUUUUAACACAUACUAAGAGAAGUGACCACACUACACCUCAGCUGUGGAACCUGCCUGAGAUCUCCAAGCAAACAGAGUAUCCUCCUUUAAAUCUCUUCUUAAAACUCACUUUUAUUGUAUGACUUUUUCUUAAUCUGAUGGUAUUUGUUGCAAUUUAAAUUAUUUUAUCAUGUUUAUAUCUUAAGUUCAGGAUCUUCUUUGCUUUUAUAAUGUUUUUAUUGUGAAGCACUUUGUAACUUUGUGUUGAAAGGUUCUUUAUAAAUAAAGUUAUUAUUAUUAUUAUUAUUAUUAUUGUUAUUGUUAUUAUUAUCAUUAUCAGUGAAUGAGUGACACUUGUGCUUUUGCCCAUAUUGUUCACAAAAAGAAAAGAACUCUGGGCAAUGAAGGAAAUGGCUAACUUAAGCAAACAAUGCCAGUUGAGGGGAAAGUGAAUGCAGCAAAAAAAGUACUUGAUUGCAUCACAGAUUGAAGAUAUCUUUCUCCUGACAUCACAAAGUGGAAAAAACCAACAACAAAUUAUUGUUACUAGUUAUUUCUGAUGAAGACAUUUUCUUUUUAAUUUACUGACUCUUAAUAACCUGUUGUCUGUUGUUCUGGCAUGUUUUAAUUCUGUUUCUCAGGCAGAGGAGAGUGUGUUAUGGUAAUCCCCUGCAUUAUAUGGUAUGUGGAAUGGUGUUGGUUCUCUAUAUCCUGACUGUUGCUGUGGAUGUGUAUAAGGCUCAAAGCAGAUUGAGCUGAAGGGGGAACACACCUACGCUGAUCUGAGGACCUGCAGUGACUAUGACCAACUGCAUCUGCCAAGAUUUGUCUGUUUCCAUGGCAACAGUCGACUGUCAGGUGUGGCAAAACAGGGACAUCAACUUUUGGGAUAUUUUUGACAUCCAUCACCAGAUGUGUGUCCAGGACCAUAAAAAAACCCUUCAACAACAGGGAAAAGAGAAGACAGACGAGCCAAAUCUGUAACUUUUUAAACUAAGUAACACAGACAGGGGUGAAAACAUAACAUACUUCUGUCUUGGUUGGAAAAAGUAACAACUGCAUAACAAUACUAUAUGAUGAGGUAAACCCCCUGGAAAAGAACCCAGAAUGAGAUCAGAGACAUGUGUCUCAGACAGAACACAGAAAUUCCGCAAAAAGUACUGACACACCGGUUACUUCAAUCUUUGCUUUGAUUUCAUGCAUCAGUUAUUGUCUAUGGGGAGAUCUGGCUGUUGUCUGUCUGCCAUGCCAAAUUCCUGCCUAAUGUGAUGGUUUGAAUUGGUGGCAGUUUAGUCUGUGUGUUGGAAACCAUGCCGCAGAGUGUUUGAUCCCUAAAAAUAGUCAAACUGUAUCAAAGUGUCCAGGGGCAAAAUGCCAGAAUGUGUCUUUUCAUGCCUUUGCUGAAGCUUGUGCAGGUGCUGGCUUGCAUCAUUUCAUGUUUGGACUGUGUGUUUUCUGAGCAUGCUCUGCUCUGUUGUUGCCAGUAAUAAAUGUAAUA